AUGUUCGGCACAUCGUGCGCUACUCUCUCAUCCAUUAUUGCCAUCGUCACCCUCGCUUCUGUCGUCCUCGUUCCUAUCGCCCCCACCCCCACCCACCUAGGUACCCAGCCUCACCUCCAAGGCUCCAGCGAAGGGAACGCCGGCGGGGAAGGAGCAGGACAGAUCCGGCACAGGUAUGUGUGCGGCCAGAUCUGGGGGGGGGGCGCCGGCAGCAUGAAGAUGCAGGUGAGGCAGAGGAAGAAGGUGCCAGAUUCGUCAGCAGGGACAACGUCAUCUAUGGCUCGAGCUCUAACCUUGCGAUUCUUAGUGUUUUUUAAGCAUGGAUGCUGUGAUUUCGUUUCUUGGUUUUUUAAGCAUGGUGCUGUGAUUUCGUUUCUUGUUUCUUUAAUACUCCGAUCUGGUAAGGUCUUUGGCUUUGGAUACACUAGUAUGUGGUUAGCUUUUCAUGGCCAUGAUUUUUUUUCUUUAUUUCUGUGA
rnacentral:rRNA from 1 species